AUGAUGGCAAAAGAAAUUAAGUUUCUAUCACCUACCAAUACCAUCCAUAUCUUCUAUUUUGAGUUGUACAUAAUUCUUUCAUAAAUUAUAACUCGAUUGUUCAAUAGAUGCAUUAUAUUGACGAGACUCAUCACCUAAUUCACUAAAAAAAGAGGCAAAUCAGGUGAUUGAAAGAGAUAUACGGCGGCUAGAUUAGCCGGAAUCUGGUGGGAAGUAAGAUCUCCUUGUCGGCGAGCACCACCCUCUUCCUCUUCUUCAUCCUUUAUUUUUCUUUCUGCGAACAUCACCUUCUUCUACUUUCUUGCAAAUCUUCGACCACCAGAAGUCUAGAGCAGCCGCCGCCACAACCACGUGAGGAACAACAGAUGAAGUUUUCAAAGACUUGAUGAAACGAAACAUAUACAUAAUCGGUUUGUAUUUUAAAUAGAUUUAUGGUAUAACAUAGAUCUCGUUUAAAGACGCCCCAAAUGAUAGUGAAGACAAAGGAAAACUAGCAGCGGCGGUGGUGGCGCAGUGGUAGCUCUUCGGCUCGUCGGUGAUGUACUAACAGUUGCGGCGAGGCUUUGGUAAUUUUUCUGGUGGCCAACCGCAUUUCUUAAGAAGGAAUGUGUGUGUGUGUGAAACUUGGAAGAGAGAAAAAAAAAGGGAUCUAUACAGAUAAAUUGCUCGGUAGUUUUUUUGAGGUGGCAAGUUACUUAACAAAGAUUAAUAUUCUAUGUAUGGAGAUUGCAAUUAGAACGACUCCCCACACGUUGGAAUUUGUCUAAUAAGAGUGUGGACCUGACACAAAUAUCGAUCCAAUGUUGGGUCAAAUUGGGCCGGGUCAGCAGCUUAAUGAAGAAUUAAAGGGUGGAGGGAAGGAAUUUAAUUUCGAAAAUGGACCAUAACUGGCCCGCUACAUAUAACUGCUCCACUAAUUUUAGUAUUACAAAUGUGUGUUUUUUUUUUUUUGAAAUUUUAUCAAGAUAUUAAUUCUCUGAUUUGUUCUUGUAUUUAGAGAUUUUGUUGGAAUAAACAUGAUUCGAUUCGAGUGAUAAAA